rnacentral:rRNA from 1 species
UACGGAGGGGGCUAGCGUUGUUCGGAAUUACUGGGCGUAAAGCGCACGUAGGCGGACUGUUAAGUCGGGGGUGAAAUCCUGGGGCUCAACCUCAGAAUUGCCUCCGAUACUGGCAGUCUCGAGUGCGGGAGAGGUGAGUGGAAUUCCCAGUGUAGAGGUGAAAUUCGUAGAUAUUGGGAGGAACACCAGUGGCGAAGGCGGCUCACUGGCCCGAUACUGACGCUGAGAAGCGAAAGCAUGGGGAGCGAACAGG